rnacentral:rRNA from 1 species
AACGAACGCUGGCGGCAUGCCUAACACAUGCAAGUCGAACGAGAAAGCGCCGCAAGGCGCCGUAAAGUGGCGGACGGGUGAGUAACGCGUGGGAACCUGCCCUAGGGUACGGAACAACGCAGGGAAACUUGAGCUAAUACCGUAUACGUUCUCUUCGGAUGGUCCGGAGAGAAGAAAGAUUUAUCGCCCCGGGAUGGGCCCGCGUUGGAUUAGCGAGUUGGUAGGGUAACGGCCUACCAAGGCGACGAUCGAUAGCUGGGAUGAGAGGAUGAUCAGCGACGCUGGGGCGGGGACACGGCCCAGACUCCUACGGGAGGCAGCAGUGGGGAGUACAGGAAGGUGGGGGAAACGCUGAUCCAGCAAUGCCGCGUGAGUGAAGAAGGCCGUCGGGUUGUAAAGCUCUUUCGGCGGGGAAGAUAAUGACGGUACCCGCAAAAGAAGCCCCGGCUAACUCCGUGCCAGCAGCCGCCGUAAGAC